AAGUAUAUGCAUAUUUUAUAUGUAGAAACUGCGAACGGCUCAUUAAAACAGUUAUAAUCUACUUGACAUUUUUUCUAUAAGGAUAACUACGGAAAAGCUGUAGCUAAUACUUGCUUUAGCACUCUUGAUUAAGUUCUUGAGUGUGUACUUGUUAAGCCUUUUAAGAAAAAAGUUAUUAACUUAAGGAAUUAUAACAAAGAAGCAACACGUAAAUGGAUUUUCCAUUUUUUAGUGUGUAUCAAUCGAGUUUCUGACCUAUCAGCUUUUGAUGUUAGGGUAUUGGCCUAACAUGGCUAUGACGGGUAACGGGGAAUUAGAGUUCGAUUCCGGAGAGGGAGCCUGAGAAAUAGCUACCACAUCUAAGGAAGGCAGCAGGCGCGUAAAUUACCCAAUUCUAAAGAAGAGAGGUAGUGACAAGAAAUAACAAUACAAGGCCAAUCUGGCUUUGUAAUUGGAAUGAUGGGAAUUUAAAACCUUCCCAAAACUCAAUUGGAGGGCAAGUCUGGUGCCAGCAGCCGCGGUAAUUCCAGCUCCAAUAGCGUAUAUUAAAAUUGUUGCAGUUAAAACGCUCGUAGUUGAAUUUCAAAGAAUCGAUAUUUUAAGUAGCACUUUGUAGAUUAAUCCACAUAACUGAUACUACGUAUCGACUUUGUGCGCAUUUUUCUACUUAUGUGUUCUUUUAAUUAAAAUGAUUCUUUUUAAGAUCUUUCUUUUUUGCUUCGGCAUUUUAGGAGAUCUUGUUACUUUGAGUAAAUUAGAGUGUUCAAAGCAAACAGAUUAUAGCAUCUUUAUGCGUUUGAAUACUACAGCAUGGAAUAACAAAAUUGAACAAGUCAGAAUUUUGUUCUUUUUUCUUAUUUUGGCUUAGUUACGAUUAAUAGGAGUAGCUUGGGGGCAUUUGUAUUCAGAUGUCAGAGGUGAAAUUCUUAGAUUUUCUGGAGACAAACAACUGCGAAAGCAUUUGCCUAAAAUACUUCCAUUAAUCAAGAACGAAAGUUAAGGGAGUGAAGACGAUCAGAUACCGUCGUAAUCUUAACCAUAAACUAUGCCGACUAGGCUUUGGAUGAAAGAUUUUAAAAUAAGAGUUUUCCUUUCCCUUCGGGGUUAGGACUCUUAGAUUGCUUCCUUCAGUGCCUUAUGAGAAAUCAAAGUCUUUGGGUUCUGGGGCGAGUAUUCGCGCAAGCGAGAAAGUUAAAAGAAUUGACGGAAGGGCACCACCAGGCGUGGAGCUUGCGGCUUAAUUUGACUCAACACGGGAAAACUCACUAGUUUAAGACAAGAGUAGGAUUGACAGAUUAAUAGCUCUUUCUUGAUUUCUUGGAUGGUGAUGCAUGGCCGUUUUUAGUUCGUGAAUAUGAUUUGUCUGGUUAAUUCCGAUAACGAACGAGAUCUUAACCUGCUAAUUAGCGGCAAAUACGAUAUAUUCUUUUGUGGAAUUGAAUAUGGUGGAUUUGUUAAAUUUUGAAGAAAAUAUUGGAAUUACUAACCGUUUUUCCUUUCCCUUUUCUACUUAAUUUACUUAUCCUACUAUUUCUUUUUUGCAUUUGAAUGUAUUUGCUUGAUUGUAAAGCUUCUUAGAGGAACGAUGUGUGUCUAACACAAG
rnacentral:rRNA from 1 species